rnacentral:rRNA from 1 species
GAUGAACGCUAGCGGCAGGCUUAACACAUGCAAGUCGAGGGGCAACACGGGUAGCAAUACCUGGUGGCGACCGGCGCAAGGGUGCGUAACGCGUGAGCAACAUGCCCUAUACAGGGGGAUAAUCCAGGGAAACUUGGUCUAAUAUCCCAUAGUAUUUAGAGGUGGCAUCACCACUAAAUUAAAGCUUCGGUGGUAUAGGAUUGGCUCGCGUGACAUUAGCUUGAUGGUGGGGUAACGGCUCACCAUGGCGAUGAUGUCUAGGGGUUCUGAGAGGAAGACCCCCCACACUGGGACUGAGACACGGCCCAGACUCCUACGGGAGGCAGCAGUGAGGAAUAUUGGACAAUGGAUGGAAAUCUGAUCCAGCCAUGCCGCGUGCAGGAAGACGGCCCUAUGGGUUGUAAAACUGCUUUUAUAUGGGAGCAAUAAGGUUUACGCGUAGACCGAUGAGAGUACCAUAUGAAUAAGCAUCGGCUAACU